AGCUUCAGUAGCGUAUAUUAAAGUUGUUGCAGUUAAAAAGCUCGUAGUCGCAUUUCUGGCGAGAGGAUCCGGUCCGCCCUUUUGGUGGGUUCUUGGGUCUCUUUCGCCAUCCUUGAGUGGUCCGUUCUGGCAUUCGGUUGUCGGAGCGUCAGCCGCUCAUCGUUUACUGUGAGAAAAUUAGAGUGUUCAAAGCAGGCUUAUGCCGUUGAAUAUAUUAGCAUGGAAUAAUAAGAUAGGACCUCGGUACUAUUUUGUUGGUUUGCGCACCAAGGUAAUGAUGAACAGGGACAGUUGGGGGUAUUUGUAUUUCGUUGUCAGAGGUGAAAUUCUUAGAUUUACGAAAGACAAACUACUGCGAAAGCAUUUACCAAGGAUGUUUUCA
rnacentral:rRNA from 1 species